GGUUGGUUAGCUCAGGUGGGUAGAGCAUGGUGCUGAGACAGCCAAGGUCAUGGGUUCAAGCCCCAUACUGGCCA